rnacentral:rRNA from 1 species
UGCCUACGGGGCGCAGCAGUAGGGAAUCUUCCACAAUGGGCGAAAGCCUGAUGGAGCAACGCCGCGUGGGUGAAGAAGGUCUUCGGAUCGUAAAACCCUGUUGUUAGAGAAGAAAGUGCGUGAGAGUAACUGUUCACGUUUCGACGGUAUCUAACCAGAAAGCCACGGCUAACUACGUGCCAGCAGCCGCGGUAAUACGUAGGUGGCAAGCGUUAUCCGGAUUUAUUGGGCGUAAAGGGAACGCAGGCGGACUUUUAAGUCAGCUGUGAAAGUCCGCGGCUCAACCGUGGAAUUGCAGUUGAAAA